rnacentral:rRNA from 1 species
AUCGAACGCUGGCGGCAGGCCUAACACAUGCAAGUCGAACGAGUGGCGGACGGGUGAGUAAUGUCUGGGAAACUGCUCGAUGGAGGGGGAUAACCAUUGGAAACGGCAGCUAAUACCGCAUACCAUCGGAUGUGCCCAGAUGGGAUUAGCUAGUAGGUGGGGUAACGGCGCACCUAGGCGACGAUCCCUAGCUGGUCUGAGAGGAUGACCAGCCACACUGUAGCUGAGACACGGUCCAGACUCCUACGGGAGGCAGCAUAGGGGAAUAUUGGACAAUGGGCGAAAGCCUGAUCCAGCCCUGCCGCGUGUGUGAAGAAGGUCUUCGGAUUGUAAAGCACUUUAAGUUGGGAGGCGUUACCAACAGAAUAAGCACCGGCUAACUUCGUGCCAGCAGCCGCGGUAAUUC